CGGUAGCUAAUACCGCAUAACGUCUUCGGACCAAAGUGGGGGACCUUCGGGCCUCACACCAUCGGAUGUGCCCAGAUGGGAUUAGCUAGUAGGUGGGGUAAUGGCUCACCUAGGCGACGAUCCCUAGCUGGUCUGAGAGGAUGACCAGCCACACUGGAACUGAGACACGGUCCAGACUCCUACGGGAGGCAGCAGUGGGGAAUAUUGCACAAUGGGCGCAAGCCUGAUGCAGCCAUGCCGCGUGUAUGAAGAAGGCCUUCGGGUUGUAAAGUACUUUCAGCGGGGAGGAAGGCGAUGAGGUUAAUAACCUUGUCGAUUGACGUUACCCGCAGAAGAAGCACCGGCUAACUCCGUGCCAGCAGCCGCGGUAAUACGGAGGGUGCAAGCGUUAAUCGGAAUUACUGGGCGUAAAGCGCACGCAGGCGGUCUGUCAAGUCGGAUGUGAAAUCCCCGGGCUUAACCUGGGAACUGCAUUCUAAACUGGCAGGCUAGAGUCUUGUA
rnacentral:rRNA from 1 species